UGGGGAAUAUUGCACAAUGGGCGCAAGCCUGAUGCAGCCAUGCCGCGUGUAUGAAGAAGGCCUUCGGGUUGUAAAGUACUUUCAGCGGGGAGGAAGGGAGUAAAGUUAAUACCUUUGCUCAUUGACGUUACCCGCAGAAGAAGCCCCGGCUAACUCCGUGCCAGCAGCCGCGGUAAUACGGAGGGUGCAAGCGUUAAUCGGAAUUACUGGGCGUAAAGCGCACGCAGGCGGUUUGUUAAGUCAGAUGUGAAAUCCCCGGGCUCAACCUGGGAACUGCAUCGGAUACUGGCAAGCUUGAGUCUCGUAGAGGGGGGUAGAAUUCCAGGUGUAGCGGUGAAAUGCGUAGAGAUCUGGAGGAAUACCGGUGGCGAAGGCGGCCCCCUGGACGAAGACUGACGCUCAGGUGCGAAAGCGUGGGGAGCAAACAGG
rnacentral:rRNA from 1 species